AUUGAACGCUGGCGGCAUGCCUUACACAUGCAAGUCGAACGGCAGCAUGAUCUAGCUUGCUAGAUUGAUGGCGAGUGGCGCACGGGUGAGUAAUACAUCGGAACGUGCCCUGUAGUGGGGGAUAACUAGUCGAAAGAUUAGCUAAUACCGCAUACGACCUGAGGGUGAAAGUGGGGGACCGCAAGGCCUCAUGCUAUAGGAGCGGCCGAUGUCUGAUUAGCUAGUUGGUGAGGUAAAGGCUCACCAAGGCGACGAUCAGUAGCUGGUCUGAGAGGACGAUCAGCCACACUGGGACUAAGACACGGCCCAGACUCCUACGGGAGGCAGCAGUGGGGAAUUUUGGACAAUGGGCGGAAGCCUGAUCCAGCAAUGCCGCGUGUGUGAAGAAGGCCUUCGGGUUGUAAAGCACUUUUGUCCGGAAAGAAAUGGCUCUGGUUAAUACCUGGGGUCGAUGACGGUACCGGAAGAAUAAGGACCGGCUAACUACGUG
rnacentral:rRNA from 1 species